GCCCUCCAGUUAGCUUGCAGGUGGCUAUGUACUCAUUAGCGUCAAUGGCACUUUCUAUAAGACCGGCACCGGAGGUGGGCUAGUAAGUGAUCCCUAGGCUCCGUACGUCCUCCCUACACUGUGUUCGCUGUGCUGUCACCUAUGAAAGGUAUUUGGCUGUGUACCAGACGCUUCCGGGUAGUGUUUUGUUGAUCUACCGAAGGUCUUGACUGAAAAGACGCCGUGUACGCGCAGGUUGCACUGUCUAUUGGGAGAUGCGUUAAGGUUUGCGUACUGGAGAGAUACCAGGGAGUCCCAUUUCCAUUCAUGUUGAGUGGUGUAUUACCACUCCAAUACCAUAAACAAUGGAUUUUAACUGUGUUUGUUUACUCCUUUAGAAAGAUUGCCACUGCUGCUUUGCCUCCUGUAGAUUUAAGUAAUUGUAGCUCUUGCCUCAUUUUGUUUUCUUUAUUUUGUUUUGUUUGUCCGAUUGAUUUGGCCUAAACAUAGGCGUGGCUGGUUUCAUUUAUCUGCCCUCCGUCGUGGUGUGUCGGCAACAGGUGUGGUAUUGGCUGCCCCAGUAUUUUGCUGUGGUAAUGUGUGAUGGUAGUAAUGCUAACAUCUAGCUUUCUUGACCCAGCCAGUUAUUGCCAAUAGCCACCAUAUCUUCCCUUCUCCCCUCCAGAGAAACAGAGUGUUGCAGCUGUUCCGCGGGGCAGGUCGCCGGAUCUGAGUCCUCCUCUUCGUGUACUUCACACAGUAUUUGUAGUGGUAACGUGCACCUCACUAUUUGCAGUGAUCACUCUUUGUAGUACCUGUGCCUAUGCGAGCGUGUGUGUGUCUGUGAAUAGGCAACAGAAUCCGCAGCACGGGUGGUGUGUCGGUCUCACUCCUCUUCCAGGACAGGUAACCUCUCCCGAACAGCUGAUCAAAUUAACCCUACUUGAUUACAUGUAAUAUUCCUGGUGGCAGCCACUACCUUCCUCUUGCUGGCCUAUUGGGCCUAAUAUGUACUGCACUCCAUCCUGAGAAUCAAACCCAAGACUGACUUUUUACUGAAUUGCUUGUGAAUAAAUAUUGUUUAUUUUUUCAUUGAAAUACCACGUCUCUGUCAUUACUUGCUUAUCUGUGUGCGAGAGCCCUCUUGUCUAAAUCAAGGUGUUGGAGGUCUAGCUAAAAUACAUCUUGGUGUGAAAGGCCCCAAGUGGCGUAGUCGAGCACUCUAGAGUCAAGACUCUUGUCAUCUGACUCCCGUGGUCACACAUAGAAUCCACAAAAUCUAGUCACAUUCAUAUACCUGCAUUCUGGCUGGUGGCUGUUGCUAAUGUUGACCCCAAGCCUAUUCAAGACCGCUGCACUAACAAGUAUCAAUUUAUGACUGCCACGCACAAAAUCUAGUUGAGAGAGCCUAGACAAGCCACAUUCAUAUUUUACCUGCAUUUUGACUGGCUGUUGCUAAUGUUGAGCCUAUUCAAAAGAAAAGACAACUGUACACUAACAUUAUAUUUUAUUUAAAAUAAUGUGGAAAUUCAAUUUUGUGGUCUUCCACCUGCUGUUCCAUCCGACCCUGUGAAGAACAAAUAAAAGAGAACAGGUGAGUGCAUUUAUAUUAAUUUUACAUUCAGUCAAAACUUAAAUAGGAUAUGCCAAUAGCUGGUUACGCUAGACUUUUUUGCUGCUGCUGGGUCAUUCCUUCGCCCUUGCACUUGUAGCCUAGAUCAAGUGUGAGGAUGCCGGCGCCGAAGGUAGGCUACC